UACAGAGGGUGCGAGCGUUGUCCGGAAUCACUGGGCGUAAAGGGCGCGUAGGUGGCGACCCAAGUCGAUGGUGAAAGCUCGCCGCUCAACGGCGAGUCGGCCACCGAUACUGGGUUGCUCGAGCACUGUAGAGGCUAAUGGAAUUCCGGGUGUAGCGGUGGAAUGCGUAAAGAUCCGGAAGAACACCGGUGGCGAAGGCGGUUAGCUGGGCAGUUGCUGACACUGAGGCGCGACAGCGUGGGGAGCAAACAGG
rnacentral:rRNA from 1 species